GGCACAGUGCCAGAGUGGUUAAUGGGUCAGACUUGAAUUUUCCUCAAGUUUAUCUGAUGGCUUCGGCCUCGCAAGUUCGAAUCUUGUCUGUGUCG
rnacentral:tRNA from 1 species